rnacentral:snRNA from 1 species
AUACUUACCUGGCAGGGGAGAUACCAUGAUCACGAAGGUGGAUGAGGGCGAGGCUUAUCCAUUGCACUCCAGAUGUGCUGACCCUUGCAAUUUCCCCAAAUGUGGGAAACUCUACUGCAUAAUUUGUGGUGGUGGGGAAUUA